AUGAAUUCGUCAAUUAAUAACAGAAUCUAAUAGGAUGGUAAAAAAAAUCUGAAAGUUUAUCCUAUAAAAAUAAUAUAUCCCUCUGUACCCUUUGGACUUUGGAGCAAAGUAGGAGUAUCUAACAAGGCUUCAACCAAUACACUCUGUCAUGCUUAUGCAUUAACCCAAAAAAAAAAAA